rnacentral:rRNA from 1 species
CCCUUCGGGGACAAAGUGACAGGUGGUGCAUGGUUGUCGUCAGCUCGUGUCGUGAGAUGUUGGGUUAAGUCCCGCAACGAGCGCAACCCUUAUUGUUAGUUGCCAUCAUUUAGUUGGGCACUCUAGCGAGACUGCCGGUGACAAACCGGAGGAAGGUGGGGAUGACGUCAAAUCAUCAUGCCCCUUAUGACCUGGGCUACACACGUGCUACAAUGGGAAGUACAACGAGUCGCUAGACCGCGAGGUCAUGCAAAUCUCUUAAAGCUUCUCUCAGUUCGGAUUGCAGGCUGCAACUCGCCUGCAUGAAGCCGGAAUCGCUAGUAAUCGCGGAUCAGCACGCCGCGGUGAAUACGUUCCCGGGCCUUGUACACACCGCCCGUCA